GUAUUCCCACAGUUGCCAGCUGUCAUCACGUCUUCCACCACAGGAAUGGAGCCAUAGGAGCAAGCCUCAUAGAUUCGAUAGCAUUCUGUGUUUACUCCGACCGGGCACAAUGUGAGAUCACUCUGAAGCAAGGCAUCUUGGUCUACUUUGUGCAAGGUCCUAUGUUAGAUCUGGGGAUUCACAGAAGAAUACAAGGUCCAUGUCCUGAAGAUGGUGUCAGGUUCCUGAAUUCCUGAAUUUGUGAGACCUGCACACCGGUCUUGGAACACUGAAUUGGUCCACUGCACAACAUCUCAGUGAUGAACCUAAGUAUCUCAUUAGCAUCUAUAAUCUCCUGUGUGACUAACAAAUAUUAUUGAGGAAACCCUAACAACUGAAAUUUGCAAAUGACAGUUACCAGUGUUCCUCUUCAAGAUGGACUACAGUCAUAGGCGGUUCUCUCUAUUCUAAAUGUGUACAACCCAGUCUUUUCACAGUUUUAAUUACUAAUGUAUCUUCUGGGGAAAGAUUGGUACAAAUAGAGUUAACAAUGCCUCUUUGGAAACCUGUGUUUCUACAUAAAGCAACUCUCAGACUGGAGAACAAAAUGAAUGAAUUAAAUAAGCAUAGAACUUACUGUUCUCUUGCUGAAACCCAACAAAGCUUAUCGUUCCCAUCUUUUUUCAAAAUGUUCAUUAGUGCCUGUCUGGAUGAAUUUUCAUAAAUCGUUCCUAAGAAAUUACAUAAAUAUGGCCUCUCAUCAUGCAGCAUUGACCAACUUGCCUCCACCACAGGAAAAUUCCUGUAUCUAUAAAAAUAAAUACACAUGAAUUAACAUAUGAUAUAGAAUUGGCAAAAAUUCCCCAUAACCCAAUCUCUUAGGUAGCAAGAAGUAUACAGAAGAGGUUUAAAAUGUGAUUUCUAAAUCUCAAAUUGUAAUUUUCCAUGAAUACUUUGGAAAACUCCCUGAAUCUACUGACUUAAAAAAAUUGAAUUUCACACUGACAUCUCUUACAAAAGUGUUACAGAGAUGUUGUGCCUAAAGUUAUUUGUUUUUGACAUUCUUUAACUUGCAUUACUCAUCUGCAGCUGUUAGGCAUGUUACAUUCAAAACCUUCAAAGUAUAAAGACUCUUCUCUAUUCAUAAUGAUCACGAUUUAAGCAACAUUUUAACCAGGUGAUGAAAAGAUUACAGAAUACUCCAGGGGAGGGAGAUGGAUGGGGAAAAGGAAGAUGUUGAUCGAAGGGUAUGAAGUUUCAGUUGGACAGGAGGAAUAAGCUUUAGUGAUCUAUCACACAGAAU
rnacentral:lncRNA from 1 species